AUGGUGACCCCAGGCCGGUCCACCCACCCCAGGAACUACCAACAUCAACAGUUAUUAUUCUUCACAUUGCUGUCCCUGGGAGGACACUGCUACAUCAGCUCGCCGGAGGGUUCGCUCUACCUUAUGGAGCUGCAGCCGCUACCUCGGCUGGUGGAGGUGGUUGACCAGCACCGCUUUGCCGACCCAGAUAACAUUUGGCGCGAGCGCAUAAUGUCGUUCCUGGUCAGUGGCACCGCUGGGAGGAUGCUGAUGGUGCGGUACUGGAGCGGCAUGGUGGAGCGCUUCGGCGGCGUUGAGGCUUACAAUCCAGAGGAGCUAUUCACGGCGCGCGGCAUCACCAGCCGCAUUGAGGUGUUGGAGGUGGACAUCGCCGGCAGGAGGCUGGUCCCCGUCAGGAGCCUUGGCCGGUAUGCGGUGUUUAUUGGCCUAAGGCACUGCUUGCACAUCUCUACCGAGACAUUCCCCUCCAUUUCUGCGGACACGAUAUACCUGGGUUGCCAUCAUCAGCAAUUCCGUGGGUUUGGCAUCUAUCAUAUCAACAACACGAAGAACCACCCGAGGACCGAGCAUAAUGACAAGUUCGUCUUUGAUAUAUCCCGAAGGUCCAAUAUGAGUAAUUUUUUUAGGGUACCAAUAUGA
rnacentral:rRNA from 1 species